UCAAAUUGGUUGUAUUCUGGAAUCUGCUUAGCCGCAGGUCCUUGCCUUCGGGUAGGGAUUCGCGAUGCACUCACCAAGUGCUGCGUGUUCCGGAUAUUUCGUGCCAGCUCGCCAGUGCACUUUCGCAGAGUGUUCACCACGACCGGCAUUGCUGUCUGGCUGUUGUGGUUAAACCGGCUUUACUUAGUCCUCGUGGCUUUGCAUAGUCGGGAUGGCAGGUAGCUCGUUGGUCUGGCCUGUGGUUCUCCGCAGGAUUUUGACUCUCGGGUGUUAUCAGCUGACCGCAUCGGUUCUGUGCAGUGUGCCGGAGACGGCGGCUUGUGGUACAUGCGUGCGUGCUAGUUGGUUGGCGUGUCCGAGUUUGGUUGUUAUGUUGCUUGUGUUUACAGGCCUAAUGAUAGCUCGGGCUCGUUCGACUGGCAGUUGCGUGCGUAGUGCUUUCCAGGGCCAACAGUCUGUGGUGUUGCGGUAGACUAUCCACCUGACCCGUCUUGAAACACGGACCAAGGAGAGUAACAUGUGCGCGAGUCAAUGGGCGUAACGAAACCCAAAGGCGAAGUGAAAGUAAAGGUCUGGCUUGUCUGGACUGAGGUGAGAUCCUGUUGUUUCCCACGCGCGGUAUUACCAAGCAUCGAGCAGCAGGCGCAUCACCGGCCCGUCCCAUGGUGUGGUGACUUCUUUCGGGGGGUUCGUCACCGGGGCGGAGCAUGAGCGUACAUGUUGAGACCCGAAAGAUGGUGAACUAUGCUUGCGCAGGUUGAAGCCAGAGGAAACUCUGGUGGAGGACCGCAGCGAUUCU
rnacentral:rRNA from 1 species